rnacentral:tRNA from 1 species
AGGCGUAUAGCUUAUAAAUUAGAGUGUAGUAGUGAAGAUACUAAGGAGUAAAAAUACUUCGCCUA